UACGAAGGGGGCUAGCGUUGCUCGGAAUCACUGGGCGUAAAGGGCGCGUAGGCGGAUCUUUAAGUCGGGGGUGAAAGCCCUGAGGCUCAACCUCAGAAUUGCCUUCGAUACUGGAGAUCUUGAGACCGGGAAGAGGUAAGUGGAACUGCGAGUGUAGAGGUGAAAUUCGUAGAUAUUCGCAAGAACACCAGUGGCAGAGGCG
rnacentral:rRNA from 1 species